AAAAUAAGGCAGAAAGGAACCAGCCCAGCAUUUUAGGUUGGUUAUGCUCACAUCAGCCUGCACAGGGGAAACCUCAGCCAGGUCAGACCCUGUGCAAAGCCACAAAGGGCAGGGAGGGGAAUAAAACGUUCUGUGAGGGGAAUAAAUCUGUUCUAUGUAGUUCUGGCCAGUUUUCCACAAAUGCUGCUCUCUCUGGUGUUUUAUGUCUCGGGUAAGAGUAGAUCAAGUAAAAAAGCAAAUCACAGAACCCCAGAACUGUUUGGAUUUCCAGUCUGGUUUCCACCCCCUGCCAUGGCCAGGGGCACCUUCCAUGAGACCAAGUCCUACCCAAGCUGCUCAAAUCCCCACAAAUUUUAAAAAUCUUUUUCUCAAAAUGCAUUUUCAGGGCCUUUUGGGGCUGAUGGCUCCUCACCUGAACAGACUUCCUUAUUUUUGGGGCUGCCUGACUUGUUGGGCGGAUCUGAAGCAGGGUGUGAGUUUGGGGCGAUGCUGAGCUGUGCUGGCACCUUCCUCCCCUCUGCCUCCAGCUGUGCCCUGCCACACGGAGGGUUUGGGUCCAGAAUUCCUGCUGGGCACCCCACGGGGCCAGGGCAGCUCCCAAUGACACAAGUGCCUUUCCUGGAGGUCCCUCUAGCCCUGCCAGGGAGCUCCUGGGGUGGGUGGUGCUGCUGUGCUGGGGAUGGGCAGAGCUCACUGGGCUGGAAACUGGAGCUGCCCAGAGGAUCCUCUGGGAUCCCUCCUUCCACAGGAGUGUCCCGGGGAGCAGUUUUCACUCGGGUCUUGGCAGCUCCAGGAAACCUUCUGCAGCCACCUGGAGGCACGGGAGCAGUCCCCAGAGGUGUGGGAGGUGUGGGGAGGGGACAAACCCUGUCAGCACUUUGCUGUGGGACAUGCACGUGCUGUGGGUUGCUGCUGUCGUGGGGAAGCAUUCAGGAGAGCCUUCCUCCUCCUCCUCUUCCUCCUGCUGUCCCAGCCUGGGGCUGCUGGGACAGUGCCAGCUGCUGCAGCAGGACAGGAGACAUCUUCCAGCUCCCAUCCUCUUCGGAGCCAGCAGGAGCACUGACACCUCUGGGUGAGGGCAGGGGCUGGAGGAGAGCUAUUUUGGAGGGAAUUGAAGGCAGCUGAGGAUCAUCAGACCCCCAAACCCCUCUGCACCACCCAAACUCUGAGCUCAGGAGACCUCCUGCAGCACUGGGCACCCAUCCUGCCAGAACAGAGCAUCCGUGAGCAGCCAGAUCCUGAUGAGCAUUUCAAAAGCACUUUUCUCUCCUUUUGGCACCAUCUGAUCACACACAGAGCCCAGAGCCAGGCCUUGGGCUGCUCUUUGUGGAGAUUGGCCCCAACCCUGAGGGGUGGCACAGAGGGGACAGGGACACCUCGGCAUCCCAACGCUCCUGCAAAAGGCUCAGUUUUUAAUCCCAGCAGAAGAAUUACUCUAGCUCCUUAGAUUUGCCACCUGGCAGAAGGAGCUGAUGCAGGACAGGCACCUUCCCAAGGGAAGGUGACCCAUGCCAGGCCGUGAGAGGGUCCCAUUGUUCCAAAGCUGAGUUGAGGAAGGAGAUGUUCGCUGUCUGGUGGGGCCUUUAGCCAUGUGCACUUAGUCAGUAGGUGAGUAGAUGUUGCUGCCCGUAUCUAUCUCCCCUACCCAGUUGCUACGUGUGAACAAGUGUAUUUCUCCCCAGUGUUGUGGGUUCUGCCUGUGGUGACACGAGGAUGGAAAGGUAGGGACCACCUCGAGCUUCCUCUGUACAGGGUAGAGAGGAAACCUGGAUCGGUCCGAGGCACCGCUUGUAACUACAUUUGUUCAAGAAAUGUCAUCUUAACCCCAACUGUUGACACUUUAUGCAUGUGCUAAUUAAAUUUAAAAGAAAAAAGUAAAAGAAGAAAAAAAAAGGAAAAUAAUUAAUAAAGAUUUUAAGAGG
ensembl:lncRNA